rnacentral:rRNA from 1 species
CGCGUAGGUGGCGCGGAAAGUCAACGGUGAAAGCUUGGGGCUCAACCCCGAGUCGGCCGUCGAUACUUCUGGGCUUGAGCACUGUAGAGGCAGGUGGAAUUCCGGGUGUAGCGGUGGAAUGCGUAGAGAUCCGGAAGAACACCGGUGGCGAAGGCGGCCUGCUGGGCAGUAGCUGACACUGAUGCGCGACAGCGUGGGGAGCAAACAGGAUUAGAUACCCUGGUAGUCCACGCCGUAAACGAUGGGCACUAGAUGCUUGGGGGAGCGACCCUCUGAGUGUCGGCGCUAACGCAUUAAGUGCCCCGCCUGGGGAGUACGGCCGCAAGGCUGAA